UCCCGCCUGCCCAAUGAUUUAAUUUAACGGCCGCGGUAUCCUAACCGUGCGAAGGUAGCGUAAUCACUUGUUCUUUAAAUAAGGACUAGUAUGAACGGCUCCACGAAGGUUACACUGUCUCCUAUUUCUAAUCAGUGAAACUAAUCUUCCCGUGAAGAAGCGGGAAUAACCCAAUAAGACGAGAAGACCCUAUGGAGCUUUAAACACAAUAGCAAGUACUAUAACACUACAACUUUCUGAAUGAAAUAUAAUUUAGUACUGUGACUAUUAGUUUUAGGUUGGGGUGACCGCGGAGAAAAAUUUAACCUCCACAUUGAAAGAUAACCUCUAAGCUAAAAAUCACAUCUUUAAGCAUCAGCAUACUGACAUUAAUUGACCCAAUUAAUUUGAUCAACGAACCAAGUUACCCUAGGGAUAACAGCGCAAUCUACUUCAAGAGCCCCUAUCGACAAGUGGGUUUACGACCUCGAUGUUGGAUCAGGGUACCCCAGUGGUGCAGCCGCUACUAAAGGUUUGUUUGUUCAACAAUUAAAACCCUACGUGAUCUGAGU
rnacentral:rRNA from 1 species